ACGCACGCUGGCGGCGUGCUUCACCCAUGCCAGUCGUACGGUAAGGCCCUUUCGGGGGUACACGCGUGGCGAACGGGUGAGUAACACGUGAGUAACCUGCCCACAACUUUGGGAUAACGCUAGGAAACUGGUGCUAAUACUGGAUAUGUGCUCCUGCUGCAUGGUGGGGGUUGGAAAGCUCCGGCGGUUGUGGAUGGACUCGCGGCCUCUCCGCUUGUUGGUGGGGUAGUGGCCUACCAAGGCGGCGACGGGGAGCCGGCCUGGGAGGGUGACCGGCAACAUUGGGACUGAGAUACGGCCCAGACUCCUACGGGAGGCAGCAGUGGGGAAUAUUGCACAAUGGGCGCAAGCCUGAUGCAGCAACGCCGCGUGCGGGAUGACGGCCUUCGGGUUGUAAACCGCUUUCAGCAGGGACGAAGCUUUUUGUGACGGUACCUGCAGAAGAAGCACCGGCUAACUACGUG
rnacentral:rRNA from 1 species